UAGCUCAGCCAGCUGAGCGUGGCGCUAACAACACCAAGGUCACGGGUUCGAUUCCCGU
rfam:Apaloderma vittatum contig31356, whole genome shotgun sequence.